AUCUUAUUAAUAAAAUUGAUCUUUUUGUUCGAAAGUUAAAUUAGUUUCUAGCCCUAGAAUAAUAAUCUCCUGCAUAAUACACAUCACCUUCCAAUUAUCAGAAGAUUUAUUCUAUCUAUGCUAGUCUAGCCCACCAUGUGAGUGAAUAUCCUACGGUUGUACAGUUUUCACCUUCCAUCUAAGAACAAGUUUAAGAUGCUCAAGGCUAUUCCAAACUGGUUAAUGAUCUAUUUUUAAAUACAUAUAACUAAGAUUGGAAGAACCACUCUAAUUUUUCUUGGAGACCUCAAUAGACUUAGGCUCAGAUCGAAAUGCCAUCUAUACAUAGCUUUCAAAAUAGGCCUCAGUGUCAAAACUAUAUCUAUAAUAGAGGCCAGCCUAGUCAGCCUACCUAGCCAUCCUAUUAUAAUCAGCUUUCAUACCCACCUCCUUAACAGAUCUCUUUAGCCAACGAUAGGUUUAACCAACUUCAAUAAAUGAUUAUGACCCAACAGCAAUCCAUC
rnacentral:lncRNA from 1 species